rnacentral:rRNA from 1 species
GAUGAACGCUGGCGGCGUGCCUAAUACAUGCAAGUCGAGCGAACGGACGAGAAGCUUGCUUCUCUGAUGUUAGCGGCGGACGGGUGAGUAACACGUGGAUAACCUACCUAUAAGACUGGGAUAACUUCGGGAAACCGUAGCUAAUACCGGAUAAUAUUUUGAACCGCAUGGUUCACAAGUGAAAGACGGUCUUUCUGUCACUUAUAGAUGGAUCCGCGCUGCAUUAGCUAGUUGGUAAGGUAACGGCUUACCAAGGCAACGAUGCAUAGCCGACCUGAGAGGGUGAUCGGCCACACUGGAACUGAGACACGGUCCAGACUCCUACGGGAGGCAGCAGUAGGGAAUCUUCCGCAAUGGGCGAAAGCCUGACGGAGCAACGCCGCGUGAGUGAUGAAGGUCUUCGGAUCGGAAAACUCUGUUAUUAGGGAAGAACAUAUGUGUAAGUAACUGUGCACAUCUUGACGGUACCUAAUGAGAAAGCCACGGCUAACUACGUG